rnacentral:rRNA from 1 species
AACGAACGCUGGCGGCAUGCUUAACACAUGCAAGUUGAACGCAGGAUAGGACUUCGGUUCUAUUGCUGAGUAGCAAACGGGUGAGUAACGCGUGGGAAUCUACCUUUUUGUGGGGGAUAACUGAGGGAAACUUCAGCUAAUACCGCAUAAGCUCUACGGAGGAAAGGCUUCGGCCGCAAGAAGAGGAGCCCGCGUCAGAUUAGGUAGUUGGUAGGGUAAAAGCCUACCAAGCCAAUGAUCUGUAGCUGGUCUGAGAGGAUGAUCAGCCACACUGGGACUGAGACACGGCCCAGACUCCUACGGGAGGCAGCAGUGGGGAAUUUUACGCAAUGGGGGAAACCCUGACGUAGCGACACCGCGUGAGCGAAGAAGCCCUUUGGGGUGUAAAGCUCUGUCAACAGGAACGAAACAAAUGACGGUACCUGUGGAGGAAGCAUCGGCUAACUACGUGCCAGCAGCCGCGGUAAGACGUAGGAUGCAAGCGUUGUCCGGAUUUACUGGGCGUAAAGCGCACGUAGGCGGCCAUUCAAGUCAGAGGUGAAAGCCCGGGGCUCAACCUCGGAAAUGCAUUGGAUACUGGCAGACUGGAGUGCAGUAGAGGCUAGUGGAAUUCCCAGU